GAUGUAGCCAACUAAUCACGGUAC
rnacentral:siRNA from 1 species